AGAGUUUGAUCCUGGCUCAGAUUGAACGCUGGCGGCAGGCCUAACACAUGCAAGUCGAACGGUAACAGGAAGCAGCUUGCUGCUUCGCUGACGAGUGGCGGACGGGUGAGUAAUGUCUGGGAAACUGCCUGAUGGAGGGGGAUAACUACUGGAAACGGUAGCUAAUACCGCAUAACGUCGCAAGACCAAAGAGGGGGACCUUAGGGCCUCUUGCCAUCGGAUGUGCCCAGAUGGGAUUAGCUAGUAGGUGGGGUAACGGCUCACCUAGGCGACGAUCCCUAGCUGGUCUGAGAGGAUGACCAGCCACACUGGAACUGAGACACGGUCCAGACUCCUACGGGAGGCAGCAGUGGGGAAUAUUGCACAAUGGGCGCAAGCCUGAUGCAGCCAUGCCGCGUGUAUGAAGAAGGCCUUCGGGUUGUAAAGUACUUUCAGCGGGGAGGAAGGGAGUAAAGUUAAUACCU
rnacentral:rRNA from 1 species